UACGUAGGGAGCGAGCGUUGUCCGGAUUCAUUGGGCGUAAAGAGCUCGUAGGCGGCUUGAUAAGUCGGAUGUGAAACCUCCAGGCUCAACCUGGAGUCGCCAUCCGAUACUGUCAUGGCUAGAGUCCGGUAGGGGCCCACGGAACUCCUGGUGUAGCGGUGAAAUGCGCAGAUAUCAGGAAGAACACCGAUGGCGAAGGCAGUGGGCUGGGCCGGGUACUGACG
rnacentral:rRNA from 1 species